rnacentral:rRNA from 1 species
UACGUAGGUGGCAAGCGUUGUCCGGAUUUACUGGGCGUAAAGGGAGCGUAGGCGGAUUUUUAAGUGGGAUGUGAAAUACCCGGGCUCAACUUGGGUGCUGCAUUCCAAACUGGAAGUCUAGAGUGUUGGAGAGGAAAGUGGAAUUCCUAGUGUAGCGGUGAAAUGCGUAGAUAUUAGGAAGAACACCAGUGGCGAAGGCGACUUUCUGGACAAUAACUGACGCUGAGGCUCGAAAGCGUGGGGAGCAAACAGG